GGGCGCUGCAAUCCGCNNAGAGCACUGCCUUCACACGGCAGGGGUCGCAGGUUCAAACCCUGCAUCGCCCACCA
rnacentral:tRNA from 1 species